rnacentral:ncRNA from 1 species
CCGAUCUUCCGGAUGGGUAUCUAGGGAUCUAACACAUGCAAGUCUAAUGGUAACACAAGUUAUCAUGGCGUACAGGUCAGGAAAGUUGGGAAGAUGCCUCAAGAACUAUGCAAAUCAUAGAUAACCAAAGGGUAUAACCCGUCUUGAGAUUCGCUCAAUACCUAACAGAUAGUUGGUGGGGUAAAGCCUAACAAGUCAACAAGAGGUAGAGAAGGAUGAAAGUCCUAUACUCGACAUUGGAAAUGAGAAAGUCCAAAGCAUCACUCGAUGCGCAGCAGUGAAGAAUAUUGGUCAAUGCACAAACGUGUGAACCAGUCACCUAGAUUCUAGUAAUAGAUGUCGUACUUAUGAAUAAUGAUCAAAGUACUAUAAGUCCUGUCCAAACUCUGUGCCAGCAGACGCGGUAAGACAGAAAGGGCGACCCAUUGGAGUUUUAAAUUGGUGUAAAGGAUACGUAGCCGGCCGUAAAAAUGGCUAGAGUCAAAUAGAAGUAAUUACAAUACCUAGAGUAGGGCUG